rnacentral:rRNA from 1 species
UACGGGGGGUGCGAGCGUUGUCCGGAAUCACUGGGCGUAAAGGGCGCGUAGGUGGUUUGAUGAGGGUGUGGUGAAAGUCCGGGGCUCAACCCCGGAUCUGCCGUGCCGACUGUCAAACUCGAGGACUGUAGAGGCAGACGGAAUUCCGGGUGUAGCGGUGGAAUGCGUAGAGAUCCGGAGGAAGACCGGUGGCGAAGGCGGUCUGCUGGGCAGUUUCUGACACUGAGGCGCGACAGCGUGGAGAGCAAACAGG